UACGUAGGGCGCAAGCGUUAUCCGGAAUUAUUGGGCGUAAAGAGCUCGUAGGCGGUUUGUCGCGUCUGCCGUGAAAGUCCGGGGCUCAACUCCGGAUCUGCGGUGGGUACGGGCAGACUAGAGUGAUGUAGGGGAGACUGGAAUUCCCGGUGUAGCGGUGGAAUGCGCAGAUAUCAGGAGGAACACCGGUGGCGAAGGCGGGUCUCUGGGCUGUAACUGACGCUGAGGAGCGAAAGCGUGGGGAGCGAACAGG
rnacentral:rRNA from 1 species